AUUGAACGCUGGCGGUAGCCUUCACAUGCAAGUCGAACGGCAGCACGGACUUCGGUCUGGUGGCGAGUGGCGAACGGGUGAGUAAUAUAUCGGAACAUACCCAGUAGUGGGGGAUAACUAUCCGAAAGGAUAGCUAAUACCGCAUACGAUCUGUGGAUGAAAGCAGGGGAUCUUCGGACCUUGUGCUAUUGGAAUGGCCGAUAUCUGAUUAGCUAGUUGGUAGGGUAAAAGCCUACCAAGGCGACGAUCAGUAGCUGGUCUGAGAGGACGACCAGCCACACUGGAACUGAGACACGGUCCAGACUCCUACGGGAGGCAGCAGUGGGGAAUUUUGGACAAUGGGGGCAACCCUGAUCCAGCAAUGCCGCGUGAGUGAAGAAGGCCCUCGGGUUGUAAAGCUCUUUUGUCAGGGAAGAAACGGAGUUCUCUAAUAUAGGAUUCUAAUGACGGUACCUGAAGAAUAAGCACCGGCUAACUACGUGCCAGCAGCCGCGGUAAUACGUAGGGUGCAAGCGUUAAUCGGAAUUACUGGGCGUAAAGCGUGCGCAGGCGGCUUUGUAAGUCUGAUGUGAAAUCCCCGGG
rnacentral:rRNA from 1 species